GCCUAUACAUGCAAGUCGAGCGAACAGACGAGGAGCUUGCUCCUCUGACGUUAGCGGCGGAAAGGAGAGAAGACGUGGAUAACCUACCUAUAAGACUGGGAUAACUUUCGGAAACCGGAGCUAAUACCGGAUAAUAUAUUGAACCGCAUGGUUCAAUAGUGAAAGACGGUUUUGCUGUCACUUAUCCCCCGGAUCCGCGCCGCAUUAGCUAGUUGGUAAGGUAACGGCUUACCAAGGCAACGAUGCGUAGCCGACCUGAGAGGGUGAUCGGCCACACUGGAACUGAGACUCGGUCCAGACUCCUACGGGAGGCAGCAGUAGGGAAUCUUCCGCAAUGGGCGAAAGCCUGACGGAGCACGCCGCGUGAGUGAUGAAGGUCUUCGGAUCGUAAAACUCUGUUAUUAGGGAAGAACAAAUGUGUAAGUAACUAUGCACGUCUUGACGGUACCUAAUCAGAAAGCCACGGCUAACUACGUGCCAGCAGCCGCGGUAAUACGUAGGUGGCAAGCGUUAUCCGGAAUUAUUGGGCGUAAAGCGCGCGUAGGCGGUUUUUUAAGUCUGAUGUGAAAGCCCACGGCUCAACCGUGGAGGGUCAUUGGAAACUGGAAAACUUGAGUGCAGAAGAGGAAAGUGGAAUUCCAUGUGUAGCGGUGAAAUGAGCAGAGAUAUGGCGAACUUCAUUGGUUAAUUCUACUUUCUGGUCUGUAACUGACGCUGAUGUGCGAAAGCGUGGGGAUCAAACAGGAUUAGAUACCCUGGUAGUCCACGCCGUAAUCGUUGAUUGCUAAGUGUUAGGGGGUUUCCGCCCCUUAGUGCUGCAGCUAACGCAUUAAGCACUCCG
rnacentral:rRNA from 1 species